UACGUAUGGAGCAAGCGUUAUCCAGAUUUACUGGGUGUAAAGGGAGCGUAGGCGGCAUACCAAGCCUGAUGUGAAAACCCGGGGCCCAACCCCGGGAGUGCAUUGGGAACUGGCAAGCUAGAGUGUCGGAGAGGCAGGCGGAAUUCCUAGUGUAGCGGUGAAAUGCGUAGAUAUUAGGAGGAACACCAGUGGCGAAGGCGGCCUGCUGGACGAUGACUGACGCUGAGGCUCGAAAGCGUGGGGAGCAAACGGG
rnacentral:rRNA from 1 species